UCUCCGUUGGUGAACCAGCGGAGGGAUCAUUACCGAGUUUACAACUCUCAAACCCAAUGUGAACCAUACCAAACUGUUGCCUCGGCGGGGUCACGCCCCGGGUGCGUCGCAGCCCCGGAACCAGUCGCCCGCCGGAGGGACCAACCAAACUCUUUCUGUAGUCCCCUCGCGGACGUUAUUUUUACAGCUCUGAGCAAAAAUUCAAAAUGAAUCAAAACUUUCAACAACGGAUCUCUUGGUUCUG
rnacentral:misc_RNA from 1 species